UACGGGGGGGGCAAGCGUUGUUCGGAAUUACUGGGCGUAAAGGGCUCGUAGGCGGCCAACUAAGUCGGACGUGAAAUCCCCAGGCUCAACCUGGGAACUGCGUCCGAUACUGGAUGGCUUGAAUCCAGGAGAGGUGAGUGGAAUUCCGAGUGUAGAGGUGAAAUUCGUAGAUAUUCGGAAGAACACCAGUGGCGAAGGCGGCUCACUGGACUGGUAUUGACGCUGAGGUGCGAAAGCGUGGGGAGCAAACAGG
rnacentral:rRNA from 1 species